rnacentral:miRNA from 1 species
CCACGUUUAAUCGGACCACCCGCUCAAUCAGACCAGUUUGGCUUGGUCUUGAUGUGGUCUGAUUAAGCGGG